UACGGGGGGGGCAAGCGUUGUUCGGAAUUACUGGGCGUAAGGGCUCGUAGGUGGCCAACUAAGUCAGACGUGAAAUCCCUCAGCUUAACUGGGGAACUGCGUCUGAUACUGGAUGGCUUGAGUUUGGGAGAGGGAUGCGGAAUUCCAGGUGUAGCGGUGAAAUGCGUAGAUAUCUGGAGGAACACCGGUGGCGAAGGCGGCAUCCUGGACCAAUACUGACACUGAGGAGCGAAAGCCAGGGGAGCAAACGGG
rnacentral:rRNA from 1 species